AUGGACGUGGAUCGGGAGAGGUUGCUUGUAUUCAAGGUAUACGAGGAAUCAUUGCAAACAAUUGUCUUCAGAAACUUUAGAACUUACCCGGGGCGACGAAACCGAAGAGGCAAGGAAGAACAAACGUCGGUAGCGGUAGCGACGUGUGGAAAGAACAAUUGCGCACGGGGAGGGGGCGGUGGGGCACCAGGAGAUUAUCGAAUUCCUUUCCCCAAAGCUGGAGACGAGGGGUUUCCUCGAGUCCCCACUCCUCAACAGCAGGGCUGCAAGGCCCCUCCAACAGGGCUGCACAAGUGGCCGCUGCGAGCCGGCGCCGGCGUCGGCGCUCCUGCAGCCGGAGAUUGCGUUCGGAGCGCUGGCGUUGGAGCUAGGGCUCCGGGUACCCGGGAGCGCUCAGCUCCGUCCCUUCGCCUCCAGCCGCCGCCGCCGCCGCCCCUGCUGCGGCUUCGAGUCGGUGGUCGCGCGCAGGCAACAUCCACUGCUCCCCACCAUUUUUUUUUUUUUUUUACCUCUGCCGAGGUGCCUGCCGACUCAUUAUUUGUACAUCCAAAUCGAGUGCAGGUUCGUCCCCCUUUCUUCUGGGCCUCGCAGGGGUCGGGCAGGAGCAGCGCGCGGCCCCCGGGUCCCCUCCCCUCACCAUGCCAGGGGGAUCGGUUCUCCGGCGGCCCGGGUCAGACGCCCACUCUAGCGCGCCUCGACCCUGCCCGCGUUAUCUUUGCUUUUAUUGUCCCGUGUCAGUUUCACUUUGUAAUCCACGAGCCUUUUUGUUUGGGGCGGGGGGGAGGGGGGUGGCUGGUCCCUCUUUCUCCUUCACCGCUGGCGGUGGAGGCGGGGAAGUCGGCGCUGGGCUGUGGCGGCGCCCGUGGCAGCUCCGGACGGCGCCUGUCAGCGCUCUCCUUCUCGCCCGCCCGGGAUGAAGGUGGAACCGCUGUGGAGCUGGAGCUCAGCGAGCCGCUCGCCACCUCCGGCUGGUCCCUCACGCUCUCCCCGCCUCUUCCCCGCUGCGCGCACACAACCGCGCGCGCACACACACACACACACACACACACACACACGCACGCAGCGACCGUCGCUGAAACACAAACAGAGGGGGAGGGCAGACCGCGAGCUGGAGCAGCACUCCGAAACUUUGCUCGCCGCUCAUUGAUCCCCGCACUUUAG
rnacentral:lncRNA from 1 species